UGCAAUGCUUGUGGAUGGGUGAGGGCCAUUGUAGAGGCUGAUCAUCAAAUAGCUAUGAUGACACCACAAAAAGAAAAAAGUUGCAGGCAAUGAGUCAAAAGAUGGAAACCCAAUAAAGAAAUAAAGAAGAGAAAAGGAAGAAGAAGGAAGAAGAGGGGAAAGAAGAAAAGAAGGCUAGCUUCUUUGGACCACAUGCCAACCUCAUUUCCACAGUGCAAAAGGGAUAUAUAGAGAUAUGAGUUUUUGCCUUUGGUGGGGAAAUUAAAGUAAGAGGCCUGGUCAAGCCCCCAAAAGGCUUUUUUUCCUCCCUUCCCUUCCCUUUCAUAUCUCUCUCUCUCUCUCUCUUUUUCUCCUUUCC
rnacentral:lncRNA from 1 species